rnacentral:rRNA from 1 species
CAGGGUACUCGAGUGGCGAACGGGUGAGUAACACGUGGGUGAUCUGCCCUGCACUUCGGGAUAAGCUUGGGAAACUGGGUCUAAUACCGGAUAGUAACCAUCUUUAGUGUGGUGGUUGGAAAGUUUUUUCGGUGUAGGAUGAGCUCGCGGCCUAUCAGCUUGUUGGUGGGGUAAUGGCCUACCAAGGCGGCGACGGGUAGCCGGCCUGAGAGGGUGUACGGCCACAUUGGGACUGAGAUACGGCCCAG